UACGGAGGGUGCAAGCGUUAUCCGGAUUCACUGGGUUUAAAGGGUGCGUAGGUGGGAAUGUAAGUCAGUGGUGAAAUCUCCGUGCUUAACACGGAAACUGCCAUUGAUACUAUGUUUCUUGAAUUAUCUGGAGGUCGGCGGAAUAUGUCAUGUAGCGGUGAAAUGCUUAGAUAUGACAUAGAACACCAAUUGCGAAGGCAGCUGGCUACAGGUGGAUUGACACUGAGGCACGAAAGCGUGGGGAUCAAACAGG
rnacentral:rRNA from 1 species